rnacentral:lncRNA from 10 species
UUAUUCUCUUUUCACUAUUAAUAUGCUUAUGAGAUUGAUAAAGAAUGCCUAACAAUAGGUGUACUGUACCUUUAUAUUAUUAGGGCACUUGACAAAGUAUCUUAUGAUCUUUGUGCCAAUAAAAUAGCAAAAUGUAGGCUGAAUGAGAAGGCAAGAUUAAGAGGCAGCUGAAAGCUUGUCCUCAGAAGAUUGGUUAGCCAGAGUGGUGUCAAUUUAAAUCCAGCUCUUAAGUAGAGCAGGCUUUGGAAAUAUAUACCUGAAUUUAUCUUAGUGAAUAAUUGUAUCCUGCAAAGUGAGAGUAACCAGCAAUAUUUUGGGAUACAGAGAGUUUAUGCACUAUGCUUUUCUCCCAGAAAGCACAGGAAAAAUCCCCAAACCUAAGAGUUAUAUUUACAGGCUUUUAAAAGUCAUCCUCUGCUAUCAUGGAUCUAACUCUUAAAUUUUUCACUGACAGAACACCUACUAUAAAUAACUGGGAGAUAAACUCUGAUUAUAGCUUCCAUUUAAUUAACAUCCACUCCUAACAGAACUUAUUAUUUGCUCAUGAAACUGAAAUUUACUAUGGUAUAGAAAAACUAAUGUCUCAUAUGUAUUUCGGCCCAAAGGAGAAGAAAUGUGGAAGUGGGAAGUUAAUGAAGAAAAUGGAUGUGCAUCAAGGUAGAAAGAAAAUGCUCACUUUUGUAAAUAGGGUUUUACUUUACGGCCAUGGUUCUUAACCAGGAGAAAUUGUGCUUUCCAGGGGACAUUUGACAAUAUGUGGAGAUAUUUUUGAUUGUCAUGACAGGUGAUGGAUUUCUACUGUCAUCUAGUAGGUAGAGCUGGGGAUGCUGUUAACCCUUCUGCAGUGCACAAGAUAGCUCCCCAAAACAAACAGCUAUCUGAUCCAAAAUGUUAAUAGUACCAAGGUAGAGAAACGCUUCUUUAGAAAGAGCCUCUUACAUUUUGGUGUGCAUCAGAAUCACCUGGAGAGUUUGUUAAAACAUAUUCCUAUGUGGGGGUCUAGAGUCAGAAUUAGAGUUUCUGAUUCAGGAUGUCUGGAUGGGACCUGAAAAUAUAACACAUCCUAGAAACACUGAUGUUGCUGCUCUGAAGAUCACACCACUGCUCUAGGGCCAGUAUUUUUAUUGUAUUUAUUUAUUUAUUUAUUUAUUUUGAGAUGGAGUUUCGCUCUUGUUUCCUAGGCUGGAGUGCAAUGGCACGAUCAUGGCUCACUGCAACUCUGCCUCCCAG